rnacentral:rRNA from 1 species
CAGCCGCCGCGGUAAUACCGGCGGCCCGAGUGGCGGCCACUAUUAUUGGGCUUAAAGCGUCCGUAGCCGGGUUGGUUAGUCUCCCGGGAAAUCUGGCCGCUUAACGGUCAGAAUUCCGGGAGAUACUGCCAGCCUAGGGACCGGGAGAGGCCGAGGGUAUUCCCGGAGUAGGGGUGAAAUCCUAUAAUCCCGGGAGGACCACCUGUGGCGAAGGCGCUCGGCUGGAACGGGUCCGACGGGGAGGGACGAAGGCCAGGGGAGCAAACCGGAUUAGAUACCCGGGUAGUCCUGGCGGUAAACGAUGCGGACUUUGUGUCGGACAAGCUAUGAGCUUGUCCGGUGCCGGAGGGAAACCGUUAAGUCCGCCGCCUGGGGAGUACGGCCGCAAGGCUGAAACUUAAAGGAAUUGGCGGG